AAAAAAAAAUCACCCUGUAUACCCGAUGGUGAAACGUCCUUCCCUGCAAAACGUCAAAUCCGACCGCCCCUCCUGACCCCGAGACGAUUUUCCGCAGUCGUGGGUACAUAAUAUACGCUACAGACGUACCGACGCGAAUCCAGAAACGCUCGGACGGGCAAGGGUUCCGGGUCGCCGUGUACACAAUAUUUUGUUUAUUAGCAUUUCCCACACUCAAAUGACUAUGUAAAACACAUAACAGAAAAAAAAAAUGUUACUUAUACAAAAUUAUGAUAAUAUUAUAGUAAAAAAUGCAGUUAAACAAAUGUAAAAUAUAAUUAAAAUAAAUAAUAAUAUGAUACUGUACACUUAGUCUAAAAAUAAAAUGUGGCUACUUACGUUAAAACAAUAAAUCUUCAAGGUAAUUUAGGUUUUAUUAGACGUCGUUGAUACGACUUAAGACAUACCAAUCCUUUCGCUUAAAAAUUCGUGUACUGCUCACCGACCGGUCCUGUUCGAAAUAUAAUGUAAUGAUUCCCACUAUUUGUUCUCAUCGUCAAUUCGAUUUGAUUAAAGAAAUAAAAGUUAUAUAGAAUAUACCUAACAUUAUUCAUGUUAGAUUGUUUUAUGAUUUUUUUUCGUUAUCUGUAAAAUACAUAGAAAAACGCUUACAGUUUUUAUACACCAUCAUUACUUAAUUUUUUACAUUUAGAUAAUGCAUACAUUAGAAGUAAGAAAGAAAAAUAAAACGUAGACUUUCUAUUAACAAAUUAGCUCUAAAUUAUUGUCCAUUAUUAAUUAUGUGAUACGACGUAAAUUUUGGCGUUUAGGUUGAAACCGGAGUUUAACCAUAAAUAACGAAAUGUAAAGAAAAUAUAUUUUCGAGGGCUAUACGACUGUACGUAGCUUUUUUAGAUUUUUCAUUUUUAAAAAGGUUGAAUUUUUUUUUUUCGUGAUUAAAAUUCAAUUUUAAUUUAAACUCUAAAAUGUAUAUACUAAGCAACACAAUUUUGUUAUGUCGUAGGUUAGUAAGACGGAUAAAAUUGCAGA